GACGAACCGUGCGAACGUUGUUCGGAUUCACUGGGCUUAAAGGGCGCGUAGGCGGGCUGUCAAGUCAGGUGUGAAAGCUUUCGGCUCAACCGGAAAAGUGCCCCUGAUACUGAUGGUCUAGAUUGAGGUAGGGGCAUGUGGAACUUCCGGUGGAGCGGUGAAAUGCGUAGAUAUCGGAAGGAACGCCGGUGGCGAAAGCGACGUGCUGGCCCUCGACUGACGCUGAGGCGCGAAAGCUAGGGGAGCAAACGGG
rnacentral:rRNA from 1 species